rnacentral:tRNA from 1 species
GCCGCGGUAGCUCAGUGGCAGAGCGCAGCCCUGAAGAGGCUGGCGUCGGGUGUUCGAUUCACCCCCGCGGCACCA